rnacentral:lncRNA from 1 species
GGCCGCUGCCGGUGUGAACCGGUUGAUGAAUGGCGAAGCGCUGGAGUCGUAGCAUCUCUAGGGCGGGGGAGGGAAGGGGCAGUGGAGGGACUCAGGGGUGGACGAAGUCUGGGGUGGGGAAGGAAUGGAAGCGGGAGAAGAUUUCGAUCGACUGUAAGGAAUCACGCCGGAAGCCCUGGUUGUCAUAGUUAAAACCGCCGAGGAGAGCGCAGAUGUCACAGGGAGAGCUUUGAAGUUGCCUCAAACUUAAAAUGCAAUCCCUUUAGGGCUGGAACCGUGCCUUAGCCCCGACCCUACUUUCUUCUGCCAUAAGUCAAACCACAGUCAUCUUUGUCAGCGGUUUACUUUGGCACCUGCGCCACUACGAUCUCCGUCAUCAAAUAAUAUUUAUGUCGCACGGCCGCUGUACCCGGUGACUCAACACCUUGAAUGCCACGGCCCUAGGCUCGGACAAGGUGGAUACUUGUCGCCGGGGGCACUUUCAAGCGGGGAGAAACUUCGCAAACUUCUGCUAGGGGAGACUGGGAGAGUACCUUGUGAGGCAGAUAAAGCCCCAUGCUUCCUAUAGUCUUUUUUGGUCACGCCUCCAUACUACACACGCGGGCGACUGCAGUUGGCUCAGUUGUGGCAUUUCGAAAUCACAUGCAUCCUUUGUACUGCUGCUCACUUGAUGUGUUGUCACAGAUAAUGAAAGGUUAGUCACUGCUAGAAGGAAGCGUUUUAAAAAUUAAGAAUCUUUGGUUAUGCCAAGGACUGCUGUAAUUCUUUGCGUCAAAGCUAAAGCUUGCUUUCUUUCUUUCUUUCUUUCUUUCUUUCUUUCUUUCUUUCUUUCUUUCUUUCUUUCUUUCUUUCUUGUUUUGUUCAUUUUCAGUUCUGUUGUUCCACUGUUUUCAUAAUUUAGGCCCUUAAGAAGUAAAGCUUUAUAAUUGUUCUGUGUUACACAAGGGCAACUUUGUCACAAUCUGGAAACCCUUUCUCCUCUACUUUAUGGAGGGACUAAACAGGACUUUUACCUGCUUUGAAGAACUUGGUUUUCUACUAACACUGAGGCCUUUUGUUUGCUGUUUUCACAGAGCAGUAGAUUGAAAACGGCUUUAGGGAUCAAACUGUGUUCUUGGUCAGUGUAGUGCACCAUUUUAGGAUUUAUUAGUACUUCUAUUCAGAGACGGUGCUUGCGUAGUUAUUCAACAUUCUUAUAAACAUAUACUCUGUAAACAAAGUAAGUAAGCACUUUUGAAAAAAGGAAUUGGACCAGGCUCUUACCGAAGCAAAAAUAAAAUCAUUUUAAAGAAAUUCCUCUCCUAGGAAACUUUGAAUCCAUCUAAAUCAAGGAAAACUACAGAGCUGAGAAAUAUAUAAUGUCCUUUUACAAAUACACUGUGACAGAAGUAAA